rnacentral:lncRNA from 1 species
UUGUUGGGUUAGUGAUAUCAAAUUCACUUAUUAGCCUAAUUGGUUUUAUUUUGGGUUUGGUUCAACAACUCAUGUAAUGGGCUAGUUAGUAUUUGGUUUGGGUUUUAGUUGACCCAUUUGGUAUGUUGGGCCAAGUGGAGUUAAGAGAGAACUCUUUGGGUUAGAGAGUGUGAGUUCUCAUUUUUGCUCUCUAGGUUUUCCCUUCUCUUGUAAUAGAGGAGAGAGGUGUAGAGAGGGUUGGAGAAGGAGCUCUCUUGUUCUUCUUGCUUGAUUCAAAGACUUCCAAGGUAGAUUGGAGGAAUUUUAAGAGGUAUUCUGAAGCGGGAUUCGCGGAAUCGGAAGGUGCUUCAAAGAAUGUGUAGCAAAAAGGGAUUUUCAUUGGAAGGUUGUAAGCCCAUUGUGAUAGAGUGGUAAUCUCUAACCAAAUCUUGUAAUCUCCUCAUUUGAUAGUGGAUUUGAUCUCUCCGUGCCUGUGGAUGUAACCCGGUUUGGGUGAACCACGUAAAUCUUGUGUUGUUGUUGUGCUUGUGCUUGGAUUUUUCUCUUUCAACUUCAUUUACUCCAAUCUUGCAUAUCUUGGUUGUGGAUAAUUUAGAUACAUCACAUUUGCUUACUAGUGUGAUUAGUAUCUUGAUAGUGAGGGUUCCGUCAUUAGCUCACUACACACUACAACAAAAACGGUCUAUAGCGACACUUUUAAAUGUAGGUACAUGUCAAAAAAGUGCUGCUAGCUAAAAUUACCGACACUUUUAAAAAGUGUUGCUAUAUGUGGGGUCGCUAGGUAUAUAGUGACAGUUAAAGAGUAUCGCUAUAACCUAAAAGAGUGUUGCUAAUUAACUAACACUUAUUUAAGCAUUUAGCAACUGCCGAAACUCUAUCUCGUUGGCUGCGGUGGCGGAAGAGGACGACAUGAAAGGCUCUUCAUCUAGAAUUUCAGUGGAUUGAGUGAAGAGAGAAAAAAAGAUGGUAAUUAAUUUUUCUUUUUUUUUUUUCUUUUCUGUUUGUAAUUGGGCCAAAUAGACUGAGUGUGGUGGGUUUAGUAGAGUAAUCUUUUAUUUUUGAUUGGAUUGGGCUUUAUAUAUAGGCAUUAGUAGAUGUUUUUUUAAGUUUUAGGAUAAAUGGGACACUUAUUCAAAAGUAUUCCAAACAUGUGUCCCUAUAACCUCAUUCUUUUGUAGUGACAAUAGUUCUUUCUAAAUAUUUGAUCACGUUCUUUAUUAAUCAAAUAUACAAAUAUUUUGAGUAAGGCUUUUUUUGGACGUUGAAAUAAGCUAUUUAAAAAUAAUUAAUUGAUAUUCUAGUGUGAUUGUAAGAAAAGAAUUUGAUUUUUUACUCUUUGAAAGAUCCUAAAUCCAUGAUCCAGUGUGAUAUUGUAUUCUACUUAUGAGGUGAUUUAUCUAAUUUGAAAAAAUAAUUUGAAAGCCAAGUAUAAUAUCUAAUAUCCAAUUCUAGAUAGUUGAUUCACUUCUUAUUAAUUUACAAAAUAUAUAAAUUUUUCAAGUAGAUUAAAUAAUAUACCAAACAAAUUAAUUACGCAUUCAAACAUGGCUUAAAUCAAAAUAAUAUACCAAAUUAAAUAUUCAUGCAUACAAACAUAACCUAAACAUAAUGAUGGAACGCGGUAUGUAAAAGU